UACGGAGGGUGCAAGCAUUAAUCGGAUUUAUUGGGCGUAAAGGGCGCGUAGGCGGAAUAGUAAGUCAGAUGUGAAAUUCCUGGGCUUAACCCAGGAGCUGCAUUUGAAACUACUUUUCUUGAGGGUAGGCGGAGAAAACGGAAUUCCACAAGUAGCGGUGAAAUGCGUAGAUAUGUGGAAGAACACCGGUGGCGAAGGCGGUUUUCUAGCUUACUCCUGACGCUGAGGCGCGAAAGCUAGGGGAGCAAACAGG
rnacentral:rRNA from 1 species